rnacentral:rRNA from 1 species
GCGACAGGCUUAACACAUGCAAGUCGAGGGGCAGCACAGGUAGCAAUACCGGGUGGCGACCGGCGCACGGGUGAGUAACGCGUAUGCAACUUACCUAUCAGAGGGGGAUAACCCGGCGAAAGUCGGACUAAUACCGCAUGAAGCAGGGGCCCCGCAUGGGGAUAUUUGCUAAAGAUUCAUCGCUGAUAGAUAGGCAUGCGUUCCAUUAGGCAGUUGGCGGGGUAACGGCCCACCAAACCGACGAUGGAUAGGGGUUCUGAGAGGAAGGUCCCCCACAUUGGUACUGAGACACGGACCAAACUCCUACGGGAGGCAGCAGUGAGGAAUAUUGGUCAAUGGCCGAGAGGCUGAACCAGCCAAGUCGCGUGAGGGAUGAAGGUUCUAUGGAUCGUAAACCUCUUUUAUAAGGGAAUAAAGUGCGGGACGUGUCCCGUUUUGUAUGUACCUUAUGAAUAAGGAUCGGCUAACUCCGUGCCAGCAGCCGCGGUAAUACGGAGGAUCCGAGCGUUAUCCGGAUUUAUUGGGUUUAAAGGGUGCGUAGGCGGCCUUUUAAGUCAGCGGUGAAAGUCUGUGGCUCAACCAUAGAAUUGCCGUUGAAACUGGGGGGCUUGAGUAUGUUUGAGGCAGGCGGAAUGCGUGGUGUAGCGGUGAAAUGCAUAGAUAUCACGCAGAACCCCGAUUGCGAAGGCAGCCUGCCAAGCCAUUACUGACGCUGAUGCACGAAAGCGUGGGGAUCAAACAGGAUUAGAUACCCUGGUAGUCCACGCAGUAAACGAUGAUCACUAGCUGUUUGCGAUACACUGUAAGCGGCACAGCGAAAGCGUUAAGUGAUCCACCUGGGGAGUACGCCGGCAACGGUGAAACUCAAAGGAAUUGACGGGGGCCCGCACAAGCGGAGGAACAUGUGGUUUAAUUCGAUGAUACGCGAGGAACCUUACCCGGGUUUGAACGCAUUCGGACCGAGGUGGAAACACCUUUUCUAGCAAUAGCCGUUUGCGAGGUGCUGCAUGGUUGUCGUCAGCUCGUGCCGUGAGGUGUCGGCUUAAGUGCCAUAACGAGCGCAACCCUUGCCACUAGUUACUAACAGGUAAAGCUGAGGACUCUGGUGGGACUGCCAGCGUAAGCUGCGAGGAAGGCGGGGAUGACGUCAAAUCAGCACGGCCCUUACAUCCGGGGCGACACACGUGUUACAAUGGCGUGGACAAAGGGAAGCCACCUGGCGACAGGGAGCGAAUCCCCAAACCACGUCUCAGUUCGGAUCGGAGUCUGCAACCCGACUCCGUGAAGCUGGAUUCGCUAGUAAUCGCGCAUCAGCCAUGGCGCGGUGAAUACGUUCCCGGGCCUUGUACACACCGCCCGUCAAGCCAUGGGAGCCGGGGGUACCUGAAGUCCGUAACCGAAAGGAUCGGCCUAGGGUAAAACUGGUGACUGGGGCUAAG